rnacentral:misc_RNA from 1 species
AGAGAGAGAGAGAGAGAGAGGAAAGUCCGAGUGAAUCCUCCAUUGUUGUCGGUUGUAGGUGAGAAAAUAGCUGUGUUUAACAUUACUCGCCAAUUGUCAACAUCUCCAUAUCCACACGGUUGAAAAGUCGCAUGCAUUUCCGUUUUCGAUUACUACUCUGCAAGAAGAAGGGGAGAGAGAGGUACAACACAGAUAGAGAGACCUACCGCCUCAGCCUCCUGACACGUGAAGCUCUUAAUUGCUUGCACCUGCAAAAACCAACACUACCCACAUCUUCCAAAACCUGUAUUUACCUCGCUUUCUGUCACUCUUGCUUCUCCUCCUCUACCUGUCUCUGUUUUUGCAGCUAAUGCUGUCUCAGAUUUUAUUCAAUAUCUCUAUUUAAUUCCCCAAUUCUUUCCCUUUACAAUACACCCUUUUCUCUAUUUAAUAAUACCCACCAUUCAAUUUUGCAUACUUCUCCACUUUCUUUAGCUUUUUCGCAUCUCUCUCAAUCCGCGACCGUGAUUUAUACCCCCAUGCACGGUUACAGCCGCCUCGGCAAUGGCCACUCCGUCACUGCAACCACCACGCCCUCUCCCCCCUCCUCUCCUCGCCUUCGCCACAGCCGGGGCAAGUCUGGUGGGAAUGGUGGAGGUUCUGGAGGUGGUAGUGGCGCUGGCGGCUGCGGUCGUGGCUCCAAACGGAAUUGGGUGGAGAGGUUAAUGUUUGUACUUGUGUCUUUGGUUUUUAAGCGGAGAGGUGUGCUUUUGUUUGCGCCUUUGUUGUACAUUUCUGGGAUGAUGUUGUAUAUGGGAUCUUUGAAUUUUGACGUAGAUUUGAAGAAUGGCGGUGUUGUUGUACGGAAGCGUCCUCCGCCGGGGUCUGUAUACAGAAGUCCGCAGGUUUUUAAGAAUCUGUGGCCGCAUAUGGAGGCUAAGAGCAAUAGAAGCUACAAUGCGCUGAUGAGAGCAUGGGAUCCCAAACUUCAUAAAGGUUGGAAACCUUGUGGCAACAACAAUAUUUCUGAAGCAGAAUUGCCAAAGUCUAAUGGUUUUCUUAUAAUUGAAGCAAAUGGUGGCUUGAAUCAACAACGUUUAUCGAUAUGCGAUGCAGUUGCUGUGGCAGGACUACUGAAUGCUACUCUUGUCAUUCCAAUUUUUCAUUUAAACAGUGUUUGGCAAGAUUCCAGCAAAUUUGGAGAUAUAUUUGAUCAAGAUUUCUUUAUACACGCGCUUAAGAAUGAUGUGGAUGUAGUUCCAGAACUCCCAAGAGAAGUACUUGACCAGUUUGACAAUAAUAUAAGUAGUAUUGUAAAUUUGAGAGUAAAAGCGUGGUCCAGUACAGCCUACUAUCUUCAGAAAGUGCUUCCAAAGCUGAUGGAGAUGCGGGCAGUUCGCAUUGCCCCUUUCUCCAAUAGACUGGCUCAAGCAGUUCCUCCAGAUAUCCAGAGGCUUAGAUGCUUAGCCAAUUUUGAAGCACUGAGGUUUUCAGAACCUAUAAGAACUCUGGCAGAGAAAAUGGUUGAUAGGAUGUUUAAGAAUAGUUCCCAGAGUGGGGGGAAAUAUGUUUCUGUGCAUCUUCGGUUUGAAAUGGAUAUGGUUGCAUUUUCAUGCUGCGAGUAUGAUGGUGGAGAGGAAGAGAAACAUGAAAUGGAUAUUGCUCGAGAAAGAGCCUGGAGAGGAAAAUUCAGGAGAAGAGGUAGAGUAAUAAGGCCAGGAGCAAAUCGUGUGGAUGGAAAAUGCCCUUUAACUCCACUAGAGGUGGGAAUGAUGCUUAGGGGCAUGGGCUUUGAUAAUAACACUUCAGUUUAUGUUGCGGCGGGUAAUAUUUAUAAAGAGGACAAAUUCAUGGCUCCACUUAAACAGAUGUUUCCACGUUUAGAAACAAAAGAUACGCUAGCUACUGCAGAAGAACUUGCUCCAUUUAAGGGCUACUCAUCUAGGUUGGCUGCUCUGGAUUAUACGGUCUGCCUGCACAGUGAAGUCUUUGUCACAACUCAAGGUGGAAAUUUUCCCCACUUUUUGAUGGGUCAUAGGCGUUAUUUGUAUGGAGGUCAUGCAAAGACGAUUAAACCUGACAAAAGAAAAUUGGCUCUCUUAUUUGAUAAGCCCAAUAUCAGGUGGGAAGUCUUCAGGCAGCAGAUGCAAGACAUGCAUCGACGCAGUGAUCUCAAAGGAUCUGAACUGAGAAAGCCCAGUGCAUCACUUUACACAUUCCCUAUGCCUGAUUGCAUGUGCAAAUCACCCAAAGCAAGACAUGGAGACACCAAUAAGACAACAAAACUGAAGCUCUAGCCAGGUGAUAGUUUCUGGAGUUAUAGAAUUGUUAUACGUGUAAUUUUUUUGGUGUAUCAUGAAAAUUAACGAGCAGAAAAGAGUGUCAUUAGAUUUUAUUCUUUGAGAAGGGCUGGAGGAGAACAUUACAGGUUUAUUCAUCAAUGUUCAUUACCUCGCCUAUGAUUGGAAUGUUGUCCUCAAUUUCACUGUAAAUG